rnacentral:pre_miRNA from 1 species
AACCCGUACAACCGAACUUGUGUUUUCUGCGAAAGACCACAAGCUCGCUUUUACGGGUGUG